GAGAUACCAGAUGGCUCUAGAUGU
rnacentral:siRNA from 1 species